CCAAUAGCGUAUAUUAAAGUUGUUGCAGUUAAAAAGCUCGUAGUUGAAUUUCGGGAUCAACACGUCGGUCGUGCCUCCGGUACGUACUGGCGUCGUUGAUUUCUCCCUUCUGAUGAAACACGAUGUCAUUAAUUUGGUGUUGUGGGGAGUCAGGACUGUUACUUUGAAAAAAUUAGAGUGUUUAAAGCAGGCAAACGCUUGAAUACAUUAGCAUGGAAUAAUGAAAUAGGACGUUCGAACCUAUUUUGUUGGUUUCUAGGUACAACGUAAUGAUUAAUAGGGAUAGUUGGGGGCAUUAGUAUUCAAUUGUCAGAGGUGAAAUUCUUGGAUUUAUUGAAGACUAACUACUGCGAAAGCAUUUGCCAAGGAUGUUUUCAUUAAUCAAGAACGAAAGUUAGGGGAUCGAAGACGAUCAGAUACCGUCGUAGUCUUAACCAUAAACUAUGCCGACUAGGGAUCGGAUGAAGUUAAUUUUAUAAUGACUCAUUCGGCGCCUUACG
rnacentral:rRNA from 1 species